GGGAGCCCAGAGCAGAGGUCCCCUAAACCCCUCCACUGGAUGAGGCCCCAGUGCCCUUGGCCACCAUGAAGGUCAGUGCCUGGGGCUAUGAGACAGGGCAGGGUGCAUGUCUAUGCCACAGUGCUCCCUUCCCUGAGGGUCCAAGCUGGGGUCAGAAGAGGGGCUGCAGCUGUGUCCUCGGGGUGACCCCCACACCAGGCCAGGCGGGGUCCAGGGGCUUCUGAGGGACCUCAGGAGGCAGCUGUCCUGGCAGGCACGGGGGGUGGCCAGCGUGUUUGCAGGUUGUGGAGCCAGGCCUGGUUUCCCUCCAGCAGUGUCCUGGCCAGUGAUAAGCUGGUUGCCUGUGAAGGCCGGCAAACUUGAAAGGACGGCUGGGUCUGACACCCUCGGGUGUGACCGUUCCCCCUCCCAGCCUUCCCGGCUUCAAAGGGGUGUUGAAGGCCGGUCUGCAGCUGUCCCCAAGGGAGGGGCCUGAGGUGACUGCUGGGCACAGGGUGCUGUGUGAGGCGGAAAUGAGGGGGCAUGUGUCAGUUCCACCCCUGGACCUGUGGAAGUGCCCAGCAAGGGGUCAAAGCCUAUCCCCAGGCCUAAGAUGGAGACACAGGAGACCUGUGAUACAGAGGAGGGAGCACGGGGCGGGGGCCCCUCACAGCAUGGACGUGGCUGAGGGACAUGGGGGUCCAAUGUCGAACAGGGAGGGACCAGCCAGGGUGUCCCGAGCUCCUGGGUGUCAGCCAUGGGAACUGGUCCGCCCAGUCCCUGGGCAGGACAAGGACCUGGCCUACAAAAUGGACACCAGUGCAGGCCCAGGCUGUGAGGCUGGACCCCAUGAAGUGGGCUGGCUUAGGAGACAGGUAGGGCCAGGAGGCUGGGCUCCUGGGGGCUGGCAGCUGCUCCGGGAGGGUCUAUGGAGUGCAGCGAGUGGGGUGCAGGGCCAAGGCUGCUCGGUGCAGGGCC
rnacentral:lncRNA from 1 species